rnacentral:rRNA from 1 species
UAGGGAAUCUUCGGCAAUGGACGAAAGUCUGACCGAGCAACGCCGCGUGAGUGAAGAAGGUUUUCGGAUCGUAAAACUCUGUUGUUAGAGAAGAACAAGGACGUUAGUAACUGAACGUCCCCUGACGGUAUCUAACCAGAAAGCCACGGCUAACUACGUGCCAGCAGCCGCGGUAAUACGUAGGGGGCAAGCGUUGUCCGGAUUUAUUGGGCGUAAAGCGAGCGCAGGCGGUUUCUUAAGUCUGAUGUGAAAGCCCCCGGCUCAACCGGGGAGGGUCAUUGGAAACUGGGAGACUUGAGUGCAGAAGAGGAGAGUGGAAUUCCAUGUGUAGCGGUGAAAUGCGUAGAUAUAUGGAGGAACACCAGUGGCGAAGGCGGCUCUCUGGUCUGUAACUGACGCUGAGGCUCGAGAGCGUGGGGAGCAAACAGG